rnacentral:misc_RNA from 1 species
GCAGCGUCGCGGUGUAGUCAGACGGCAGUGGUCCCGGGAGGCGACAGCUCGGAUCCGGGCUUCUCUCUGUUCCUCCGCCGCAUCCACCGCCGCG